UUUUCUUUUCUUUUUUUUUUUUUUUUUUCUCUUUACUAUCUGGUUUUUUCUUUUCUUCUGGUAUUGUUUUGAUUUUGAUUUUCGAAUCAGUG
rnacentral:ribozyme from 14 species